rnacentral:rRNA from 1 species
AACGAACGCUGGCGGCAUGCCUAACACAUGCAAGUCGAACGAGACCUUCGGGUCUAGUGGCGCACGGGUGCGUAACGCGUGGGAACCUGCCCUUAGGUUCGGAAUAACUCCCCGAAAGGGGUGCUAAUACCGGAUAAUGUCUUCGGACCAAAGAUUUAUCGCCUUUGGUUGGGCCCGCGUUGGAUUAGCUAGUUGGUAGGGUAAAAGCCUACCAAGGCGACGAUCCAUAGAUGGUCUGAGAGGAUGAUCAGCCACACUGGGACUGAGACACGGCCCAGAAUACUACGGGAGGCAGCAGUGGGGAAUAUUGGAAAAUGGGAGAAAGCAUGAUCAAGCAAUGCCGCGUGAGUGAUGAAGGCCUGAGGGUUGUAAAGCUCUUUUACACGGGAUGAUAAUGACAGUACCGGGAGAAUAAGCUCCGGCUAACUCCGUG